GGGUUUCGGUUGGUGUGUAAAGGCUCAAAGGAGAAUGCUCAGAAGCCCUUUUUCAGAUGCUCAGAAGUGCUUUUAGCCCGUUUGAUGAUGGAUUUCGAAGAGUGAAAACCGGAAUACUCAUGUGCGAUUUACUGCUUGCAAGGGAAAAUGGCGAACUUGGGAGAUUUGCUCAUCACUGUGCGGCAUGACCUCUCAAGAACAGUCUCUCUGAAUGACACAACAGGGUCGGAUUUGACAAUUUCAGCCCCACCCAUGAAAUCAUCCUGCAAGUCCUUCAAACAGAUUUCUAGAUGAAGCUCUCCUGCACCAGCAACAAUGUGUUCUCCAGACUCCUCAAUGGUACAAACAAACAUAGGAUUAGGCUUAGCAAGACGCUUGAGACUUUCAACAGGCUUAGGAAGACUUCUUCGCAACAGUGAUUGAUGAACUUGUUACAGCUAGCCUGUUUGCCGAGCUCUCCUGGGAUUAAAUAAUUGGAAUCAUGCUGUAAAUUCCAAGAAAUUCCAAGAAUGUUCAAAAUGGGCAAGUUGCUUAAUUGCCUAAGUACAACAAUUCAUUUUAUAUUUUUCUAUUUUGGUUGACGAAAAGUUGUUGCAUAUCCUGCAGAGUAGAAUCUUCCAAGGAGACUUUUAGCAGAGAUGACAAUUGGGAAGAAGGAUGAAGUUCAACCAAAAAGUUUAGGAAAACCACCACCAUUAGAUGAAGCACGCAACCAUAACAGGUAAGGGAAGAGGAUUUCUUGUCAGUCUGGUGGUUCUUGAAGAAGGAUGCUUUUCCUUUCAAGUGAAUGUUGUAAUAGAGGAAUGAUUGUUAGAAAUAUUAUCCUCUUGAGUGUUA